GACGAACGCUGGCGGCGUGCCUAACACAUGCAGGUUGAGCGACGAACCAGGGCUUGCCCUGGGGCAAAGCAGCGAACGGGUGAGUAACACGUGGGUAACCUACCCCGAUAACCGGGACAACCCGAGGAAACUCGGGCUAAUACCGGAUGUGCUCACUGGACUUCGGUUCAGUGCGUAAAGGAAGCUUCGGCCUCCGUAUCGGGAGGGGCCCGCGGCCCAUUAGUUUGUUGGUGAGGUAACGGCUCACCAAGACCGCGAUGGGUAGCUGGUCUGAGAGGACGAUCAGCCACACUGGGACUGAGACACGGCCCAGACUCCUACGGGAGGCAGCAGUGGGGAAUCUUGCGCAAUGCGCGAAAGCGUGACGCAGCAACGCCGCGUGGGGGAAGAAGGCCUUCGGGUUGUAAACCCCUUUCAGGAGGGACGAAGGUUCGGCGGUGAAUAGCCGUCCGGACUGACGGUACCUCCACAAGAAGCCCCGGCUAACUACGUG
rnacentral:rRNA from 1 species